ACAGGGGUUGUUGAACUUUGAUAGGAUAUGUUUUUAAAAGUUCACUGGACUAGAAAAGAGACGGAAAGAACGCCAUGUUUUCUUUCACCUAAGAUGACAGAGGACUUUGUAGGAGAUCAUGUAAAGAAGGUGGACAGCCAUCUUGCUGGAAAGAGAGGAUGACAAGGCUUGGGAUCAUGUUUUCAUCCUAUGGAGAAGACCGGAGGAAAAUGGCUCCCAGUUUCCACACGAUGAAGAAAUGAAGCACAGAAAGACAAAGUGGCUUGCCCAAUUUCUCUCCGAAAAUCUGUGGCAUAGCAGGGGAUUGAACCUGAGUUUCAACAACUAGAUAAUUCUUCUCAUCAUUUAUACAGCUGCAUAUUAUCUUGUACAGA